CCGGCGUCACAAAGGCUCUGGAAUAUUACCGUAGCUUCGCGUUCAUUCUGCUGCUGGCGCUCUUUCAGUCUGUCAUGACAGUACAAACAUAUCUGCGUUAACGUCGAUGUAAACAUAAACUCAACGUGUGCUGGACGCGUCCACAGGAGCGUUAUAUUACAUCGCAACAGGUCUUCACCUGCGGAAGAGAGCGGCCAUACAGCCCGUCACUCGUCAUGCUGUGCUGGGGGAAUGCCUCGUACGGGCAGCUGGGUUUGGGUGGGAUUGAUGAGGAGAUAGUGCUGGAGCCGAGGAAAUGCGAGUUCUUCGAGGGCAAGCGUGUGAGGGAUGUGGGAUGCGGCAGACGUCACAGCGUCUUUCUGCUGGAGGACGGGACGGUGUACACCUGCGGCUGCAAUGACCUGGGACAGCUGGGGCAUGACAAAGCACGCAAGAAACCAGAACAGGUCGUGUCUCUGGAUGCUCAGAACAUUGUGUCCGUGUCUUGCGGUGCAGCUCAUACUCUGGCUCUGAAUGAUAAAGGACAAGUGUUUGCAUGGGGUCUGGGCUCAGACAGGCAGCUCGGACUUUCGAACAUUGAAGAUUGUAUCCGUAUACCCAGAACUGUCAAGAGUUUAUCAGAGCUUCACAUUGCCCAGGUGGCCUGUGGAUACUGCCAUUCCCUUGCUUUAGCCAGAGGAGGUCAGAUAUUCUCCUGGGGCCAAAAUAAAUAUGGACAGCUGGGGCUCGGGAUGCAGGGAGCCAGCGUCUCCUCCCCACAAGUCAUUCAGUCUUUGCAGGGCGUCCCAUUUGCCCAGAUAUCUGCAGGGGGCGCUCACAGCUUCGGGCUCACGCUGUCUGGGGCUGUUUUCGGCUGGGGACGAAACAAGUUUGGCCAGCUGGGCCUCAGUGACAAUGAUGAUCGCUAUUUCCCUGCCUUACUGAAGACUCUCAGGUCCCAACGGGUCGUUUACGUAUGCUGUGGAGAGGACCACACGGCUGUAUUAACGAAGGAGGGAGGUGUUUUUACAUUUGGAGCGGGUGGUUACGGUCAGCUGGGACACAACACCUCAAACCAUGAGGUGAACCCCAGGAAGGUGUUUGAACUCAUGGGAAAUGUGGUUGCACAUAUAGCUUGUGGUAGGCAGCACACUUUGGCGUUCAUCCCUUCAUCAGGAAAGAUUGACUCGUUUGGUCUCGGCGGUAAUGGACAGCUAGGAACCCGUUCGACCUGCAAUAGGAUAAGUCCCGCCCCUGUGAAGGGCUGCUGUCGAGCACAUACUGAUCCUGUACCUAUGGAAGUAGUGAUCUUCAUUCUUGUUGUAACCAGUGCAUGGCUAAUCCUUAUACAGGUAGCUGCUAGUUUGGAGAAGAAUCUCCUCCCCAGAUUGAGCAGUUCUCCUCCAGACAUUGAGGCUCUGAGACUGUACCUCACGCUGCCCGAGUGUCCACUCCUCAGCAACCCCAACAACUACACAACCCUCACUAUUCCCUUCGCCAAGGCCGUCGUAAGCCUGAAGGACGCCCCCCUCAAAGUGCUCGGAAACUGGUGGUCAAAGUUUGAGCCAGCGGUCUUCCAGAGGCUGGUGGAGCUGUACAAGGAGGUGGUGGUGUAUCUGCUGCGGAUGCAGAAACUGGGAAUUCCUCUUUCUGAACAGAGGAUCUUCACCUGCUUCCUGCACACCUCACUCAAAUUCCUGGAGGUCCUCCACUCGGUGAGCACCACAGUUGUAAACUAUGACAAGUUUUAUAUUCAUGAGCUGGAUGAGCUCAUUGACAUCAGGAAUGAUUAUGUCACCUGGUUUCAGCAGCAGAUGUUCUCUGUCAUGAACUCUCAGGUGACCAUGUGCCAAUACCCAUUUGUUUUUGACGCUCAGGCAAAGACGGCGCUGCUUCAGACUGAUGCUGUGAUCCAGAUGCAGAUGGCGGUGGAUCAUGCUCAGAGACAGAACUUACACUCUCUGUUCCUGUCCGGUGGAGGAGUGGAGUCAGUAAACCCCUGCCUCAUCCUCAUCGUACGCCGAGAAAACGUGGUCGGGGACUCCAUGGAGGUGCUGAGGAAGUCCAAAAACGUUGAUUACAAGAAGCCGCUCAAGGUGAUCUUCGUUGGAGAGGAGGCCGUAGACGCUGGCGGUGUGAGAAAAGAGUUCUUCCUGCUCAUCAUGAAAGAACUCUUGGACCCUAAAUAUGGGAUGUUCAGAUACUACGAGGAGUCCAGACUCAUCUGGUUCGCUCACAAGACAUUUGAAGACAUUGACUUGUUCCAUCUGAUCGGUGUGGUUUGUGGAUUGGCCAUCUAUAACCUCACUAUAGUGGAGCUGAACUUCCCACUAGCGCUGUACAAGAAACUCCUGAAGAAAACUCCCACUCUAGAGGACCUGAAGGAGCUCAUGCCUGACGUAGGGAGGAGUCUUCGGCAGCUGCUAGAUUAUACGGAGGAUGAUCUGGAAGACACUUUCUGCCUGAAUUUCACAGUAACAGAGGAACACCACAGAGCCACAGAGGUAUUGGAGCUGGUUCCCAACGGGACAGACAUCAGCGUCAACAAGUCCAACAGGCAGGAGUUCGUCAAUGCCUACGUCGAUUAUAUAUUCAACACCUCCGUGGCUCCUCAGUUCAGUGCUUUCUACGCAGGAUUUCACAAAGUGUGUGGAGGGAAAGUUCUAGAGCUUUUCCAGCCAAGUGAACUGCAGGCCAUGGUCAUAGGAAACACCAAUUAUGACUGGAAGGAGUUAGAGAAGUAUAAGGGCGAGUACUGGGCCAAUCACCCCACCAUCAAGAUAUUCUGGGAAGUGUUUCACGAGCUGCNNNNNNNNNNUUUUUCUGCAAUGUUCCUCACGGGCAGCGACCGAAUCCCCAUCCUGGGCAUGAAGAGCCUGGUGUUAGUGAUCCAGCCCACCUGUGGCGGAAAGCACUAUUUCCCUGUAGCACACACAUGCUUCAACCUGCUGGAUCUGCCCAAGUACACUAAUAAGGAGACACUCAAAGAGAAACUGCUACACGCCAUCGAACACACCCAGGGCUUCAACCUCGUCUGA
ensembl:lncRNA HECT and RLD domain containing E3 ubiquitin protein ligase 4